AACGCGAAGAACCUUACCUGGGCUUGACAUAUAGAGGAUCGCUACAGAGAUGUGGUUUCCCUUGUGGCUUCUAUACAGGUGGUGCAUGGUUGUCGUCAGCUCGUGUCGUGAGAUGUUGGGUUAAGUCCCGCAACGAGCGCAACCCUUGUCUUAUGUUGCCAGCACGUUAUGGUGGGGACUCGUGAGAGACUGCCGGGGUCAACUCGGAGGAAGGUGGGGAUGACGUCAAAUCAUCAUGCCCCUUAUGUCCAGGGCUUCACACAUGCUACAAUGGCCGGUACAGAGGGCUGCGAUGCCGUGAGGCGGAGCGAAUCUCUUAAAGCCGGUCUCAGUUCGGAUUGGGGUCUGCAACUCGACCCCAUGAAGUCGGAGUCGCUAGUAAUCGCAGAUCAGCACG
rnacentral:rRNA from 1 species